GAGAAAAUUACACAGCAUCAAACACUUUUUAGAAUAGUCAUCAAACUGUUUUUGGUAGCUGGUUCCAGGUAAAUAAAAUAAUUAGGAAUAUUGAGAAAACAGACUGACAUAGCAAGAUCUCUGCUGAUUUCCUGGGGAGGAGUUCCAGAGUCAAUAUUUGAAGGAACAAGAGAGAUCUUUGAGGUCAGCAACGCUAAUGAGCAAAACAAAGUAAAUUUAUGUUCCUGAAGCUGUGGGCCCUCUCAUGACAACCUAUCCUCAAGAGUUC